ensembl:ncRNA F46F3.14 ncRNA
AGCUGGCUGAACCAAUUUCUCAUACGGACCGUUCGACCGUUCGGGCGUGUCAACGAUGUGAGUACAGGAAUGGAGGGACGGAAAAGGUGAGCACGGGAGUGCAUUAGAGAGAAGAUACGCAGAAUGAAAAGGCACAUGAGAGACAUAGUUGAUUGAAGAGACGCAGAGCAUAAUCGGUUCUGUUGAAUACAGGCAAAAGAAAAGGAUAUUUGUGUGCGUUUGUUGUGAGGGCAAGAAGGUCAGAGGAGAGCGACCGUUAUUCUAAUGAGAGAGAGUGACUAGGAAGACAGAAGAGACGGAGAGAGGGAAAUAUGAAAAUACGUCAUUUCUGAACUGAUCGCCGGAAAUGAUUGAAAUAUUGCGCUAUAGGUGAGAUCUUUAUCACAGAAAGCGAAAGCUAGACAUCCAAAAAGUAAA